AUGAACGCUAGCGACAGGCUUAACACAUGCAAGUCGAGGGGCAGCACAGGUAGCAAUACCGGGUGGCGACCGGCGCACGGGUGAGUAACGCGUAUGCAACUUACCUAUCAGAGGGGGAUAACCCGGCGAAAGUCGGACUAAUACCGCAUGAAGCAGGGGCCCCGCAUGGGGAUAUUUGCUAAAGAUUUAUCGCUGAUAGAUAGGCAUGCGUUCCAUUAGGCAGUUGGCGGGGUAACGGCCCACCAAACCGACGAUGGAUAGGGGUUCUGAGAGGAAGGUCCCCCACAUUGGUACUGAGACACGGACCAAACUCCUACGGGAGGCAGCAGUGAGGAAUAUUGGUCAAUGGGCGCGAGCCUGAACCAGCCAAGUCGCGUGAGGGAUGAAGGUUCUAUGGAUCGUAAACCUCUUUUAUAAGGGAAUAAAGUGCGGGACGUGUCCCGUUUUGUAUGUACCUUAUGAAUAAGGAUCGGCUAACUCCGUGCCAGCAGCCGCGGUAAUACGGAGGAUCCGAGCGUUAUCCGGAUUUAUUGGGUUUAAAGGGUGCGUAGGCGGCCUUUUAAGUCAGCGGUGAAAGUCUGUGGCUCAACCAUAGAAUUGCCGUUGAAACUGGGGGGGCUUGAGUAUGUUUGAGGCAGGCGGAAUGCGUGGUGUAGCGGUGAAAUGCUUAGAUAUCACGCAGAACCCCGAUUGCGAAGGCAGCCUGCCAAGCCAUGACUGACGCUGAUGCACGAAAGCGUGGGGAUCAAACAGGAUUAGAUACCCUGGUAGUCCACGCAGUAAACGAUGAUCACUAGCUGUUUGCGAUACAGUGUAAGCGGCACAGCGAAAGCGUUAAGUGAUCCACCUGGGGAGUACGCCGGCAACGGUGAAACUCAAAGGAAUUGACGGGGGCCCGCACAAGCGGAGGAACAUGUGGUUUAAUUCGAUGAUACGCGAGGAACCUUACCCGGGUUUGAACGCAUUCGGACCGAGGUGGAAACACCUUUUCUAGCAAUAGCCGUUUGCGAGGUGCUGCAUGGUUGUCGUCAGCUCGUGCCGUGAGGUGUCGGCUUAAGUGCCAUAACGAGCGCAACCCUUGCCACUAGUUACUAACAGGUAAAGCUGAGGACUCUGGUGGGACUGCCAGCGUAAGCUGCGAGGAAGGCGGGGAUGACGUCAAAUCAGCACGGCCCUUACAUCCGGGGCGACACACGUGUUACAAUGGCGUGGACAAAGGGAUGCCACCUGGCGACAGGGAGCGAAUCCCCAAACCACGUCUCAGUUCGGAUCGGAGUCUGCAACCCGACUCCGUGAAGCUGGAUUCGCUAGUAAUCGCGCAUCAGCCAUGGCGCGGUGAAUACGUUCCCGGGCCUUGUACACACCGCCCGUCAAGCCAUGGGAGCCGGGGGUACCUGAAGUCCGUAACCGCGAGGAUCGGCCUAGGGUAAAACUGGUGACUGGGGCU
rnacentral:rRNA from 1 species